rnacentral:rRNA from 1 species
GGUUAAGCGACUAAGCGUACACGGUGGAUGCCCUGGCAGUCAGAGGCGAUGAAGGACGUGCUAAUCUGCGAUAAGCGUCGGUAAGGUGAUAUGAACCGUUAUAACCGGCGAUUUCCGAAUGGGGAAACCCAGUGUGUUUCGACACACUAUCAUUAACUGAAUCCAUAGGUUAAUGAGGCGAACCGGGGGAACUGAAACAUCUAAGUACCCCGAGGAAAAGAAAUCAACCGAGAUUCCCCCAGUAGCGGCGAGCGAACGGGGAGGAGCCCAGAGCCUGAAUCAGUAUGUGUGUUAGUGGAAGCGUCUGGAAAGGCGCGCGAUACAGGGUGACAGCCCCGUACACAAAAAUGCACAUAUUGUGAGCUCGAUGAGUAGGGCGGGACACGUGGUAUCCUGUCUGAAUAUGGGGGGACCAUCCUCCAAGGCUAAAUACUCCUGACUGACCGAUAGUGAACCAGUACCGUGAGGGAAAGGCGAAAAGAACCCCGGCGAGGGGAGUGAAAAAGAACCUGAAACCGUGUACGUACAAGCAGUGGGAGCACGCUUAGGCGUGUGACUGCGUACCUUUUGUAUAAUGGGUCAGCGACUUAUAUUCUGUAGCAAGGUUAACCGAAUAGGGGAGCCGAAGGGAAACCGAGUCUUAACUGGGCGUUAAGUUGCAGGGUAUAGACCCGAAACCCGGUGAUCUAGCCAUGGGCAGGUUGAAGGUUGGGUAACACUAACUGGAGGACCGAACCGACUAAUGUUGAAAAAUUAGCGGAUGACUUGUGGCUGGGGGUGAAAGGCCAAUCAAACCGGGAGAUAGCUGGUUCUCCCCGAAAGCUAUUUAGGUAGCGCCUCGUGAACUCAUCUCCGGGGGUAGAGCACUGUUUCGGCAAGGGGGUCAUCCCGACUUACCAACCCGAUGCAAACUGCGAAUACCGGAGAAUGUUAUCACGGGAGACACACGGCGGGUGCUAACGUCCGUCGUGAAGAGGGAAACAACCCAGACCGCCAGCUAAGGUCCCAAAGUCAUGGUUAAGUGGGAAACGAUGUGGGAAGGCCCAGACAGCCAGGAUGUUGGCUUAGAAGCAGCCAUCAUUUAAAGAAAGCGUAAUAGCUCACUGGUCGAGUCGGCCUGCGCGGAAGAUGUAACGGGGCUAAACCAUGCACCGAAGCUGCGGCAGCGACGCUUAUGCGUUGUUGGGUAGGGGAGCGUUCUGUAAGCCUGCGAAGGUGUGCUGUGAGGCAUGCUGGAGGUAUCAGAAGUGCGAAUGCUGACAUAAGUAACGAUAAAGCGGGUGAAAAGCCCGCUCGCCGGAAGACCAAGGGUUCCUGUCCAACGUUAAUCGGGGCAGGGUGAGUCGACCCCUAAGGCGAGGCCGAAAGGCGUAGUCGAUGGGAAACAGGUUAAUAUUCCUGUACUUGGUGUUACUGCGAAGGGGGGACGGAGAAGGCUAUGUUGGCCGGGCGACGGUUGUCCCGGUUUAAGCGUGUAGGCUGGUUUUCCAGGCAAAUCCGGAAAAUCAAGGCUGAGGCGUGAUGACGAGGCACUACGGUGCUGAAGCAACAAAUGCCCUGCUUCCAGGAAAAGCCUCUAAGCAUCAGGUAACAUCAAAUCGUACCCCAAACCGACACAGGUGGUCAGGUAGAGAAUACCAAGGCGCUUGAGAGAACUCGGGUGAAGGAACUAGGCAAAAUGGUGCCGUAACUUCGGGAGAAGGCACGCUGAUAUGUAGGUGAAGCGACUUGCUCGUGGAGCUGAAAUCAGUCGAAGAUACCAGCUGGCUGCAACUGUUUAUUAAAAACACAGCACUGUGCAAACACGAAAGUGGACGUAUACGGUGUGACGCCUGCCCGGUGCCGGAAGGUUAAUUGAUGGGGUUAGCGCAAGCGAAGCUCUUGAUCGAAGCCCCGGUAAACGGCGGCCGUAACUAUAACGGUCCUAAGGUAGCGAAAUUCCUUGUCGGGUAAGUUCCGACCUGCACGAAUGGCGUAAUGAUGGCCAGGCUGUCUCCACCCGAGACUCAGUGAAAUUGAACUCGCUGUGAAGAUGCAGUGUACCCGCGGCAAGACGGAAAGACCCCGUGAACCUUUACUAUAGCUUGACACUGAACAUUGAGCCUUGAUGUGUAGGAUAGGUGGGAGGCUUUGAAGUGUGGACGCCAGUCUGCAUGGAGCCGACCUUGAAAUACCACCCUUUAAUGUUUGAUGUUCUAACGUUGACCCGUAAUCCGGGUUGCGGACAGUGUCUGGUGGGUAGUUUGACUGGGGCGGUCUCCUCCUAAAGAGUAACGGAGGAGCACGAAGGUUGGCUAAUCCUGGUCGGACAUCAGGAGGUUAGUGCAAUGGCAUAAGCCAGCUUGACUGCGAGCGUGACGGCGCGAGCAGGUGCGAAAGCAGGUCAUAGUGAUCCGGUGGUUCUGAAUGGAAGGGCCAUCGCUCAACGGAUAAAAGGUACUCCGGGGAUAACAGGCUGAUACCGCCCAAGAGUUCAUAUCGACGGCGGUGUUUGGCACCUCGAUGUCGGCUCAUCACAUCCUGGGGCUGAAGUAGGUCCCAAGGGUAUGGCUGUUCGCCAUUUAAAGUGGUACGCGAGCUGGGUUUAGAACGUCGUGAGACAGUUCGGUCCCUAUCUGCCGUGGGCGCUGGAGAACUGAGGGGGGCUGCUCCUAGUACGAGAGGACCGGAGUGGACGCAUCACUGGUGUUCGGGUUGUCAUGCCAAUGGCACUGCCCGGUAGCUAAAUGCGGAAGAGAUAAGUGCUGAAAGCAUCUAAGCACGAAACUUGCCCCGAGAUGAGUUCUCCCUGACCCUUUAAGGGUCCUGAAGGAACGUCGAAGACGACGACGUUGAUAGGCCGGGUGUGUAAGCGCAGCGAUGCGUUGAGCUAACCGGUACUAAUGAACCGUGAGGCUUAACCUU